GCAUCGGUGGUUCAGUGGUAGCUACUUACCUGCCACGCAGGCUACCCGGGUUCCAUUCCCGGCCGAUGCA
rnacentral:tRNA from 1 species